CUGAGUUAAUGGGGAACCGAGUUAACUCCACUGUGCACAGAACCAGGGCCUCGCCCAUGAGAGUCACGCACUCUAUCCCCAGCUGCAUUCCGCCCGCCCAGAGUCUGAAUUCUUCCAGCCAUGAGUCAGGGCCCUGAACCUAAGCAUGCUGCCCUCUGCUGCCACGGGAGGGGAAGAAGUUGACACAGGUUUUGAGCUGCAGUCUGAAAGCUUUGGGAGUGAAGCCACCCAGUGGCCAUCAUCAUGUCUUCACUGAAGCUGAUGCUGUUAUGUUGUCUUGACCCGGCUUGUCUUAGCUUUAACCCACGACAGCCAUGAGGUUUGGCCUGAGUGGGGGUGUGUGGACCUGGAAGCUCCCAGCAACCCAAAGGCAAUAAAGAUCAAACACAGGCAUCUUGUCAUCUUCAGAGAGCUCUCAAUUCCAUGUUGUGGAACUAGAGUCAUUUCUUUAUUAGCCAUCUUUUCUGGUGUUUCUUAACCAUCCUGCUAAUACCAUUUCCUUCUUUGUUCCCUCUCUGCUCUGGCCGCUCGCCCCUAACUCCUCACCUUCCAUCCUCACAAGUUACUCACACACCUCUAGAACCUAAGCCCAGGUGAGGGCCUAUUCAGAUGCUUAGGCACAUACAGAUGCAAAUUAGGAGGCAUAUUACCCUGAGGCCAUAGUAAACAAUAGUAGCCCUACUGGCAUUUAACAAUACAAUGGUGAACCGGUGCUUUCUGGUGCUGAUAUUUACAGCAACUAGAGACUGGGACCCAAAAUAUUCCAUAACAGAAAUAUUCAGUCCCCCACAGUAUGUGAAACAUUCUACACAGCUUUGGUUGAGAGGCUGGGUAUGGUGGCACACAUCUUUAAUCCCAG
ensembl:lncRNA